CCCCUUAGAUGUUCUGGGCCGCACGCGCGCUACACUGAUGCAUUCAACGAGCCUAUCCUUGACCGACAGGUCCGGGUAAUCUUUGAAUCUGCAUCGUGACGGGGAUAGAUUAUUGCAAUUAUUAAUCUUCAACGAGGAAUGCCUAGUAGGCGCAAGUCAUCAGCUUGCGUCGAUUACGUCCCUGCCCUUUGUACACACCGCCCGUCGCUCCUACCGAUUGGGUGUGCUGGUGAAAUGUUCGGAUCGGCCGUUUGUCGCGGUUUCCGCGUCAUGUGGCUGAGAAGUUCAUUAAACCCUCCCACCUAGAGGAAGGAGAAGUCGUAACA
rnacentral:rRNA from 1 species